CCUUCACUACCUCUAGAAGACAGAUCUGAAGUUCCUCUUGGGGAUUCUGGUUGCUUCAUCUCUCCCUGGUUGUUAUUGCAAAAGGUGGGAGGAAUCCUUUUCGGAGAACUACAGGUAUCAAAAUUCUAGUCACAUUUCUCAGAUUCUCCUCUUCCUACCAUGGUCAGAUUUUUAUCUUCUUUUGAGUGGAAAAAAUGUCUUUACAUCAUAAUGCAUUCUUUCUUGUUUUUUCCCUUGCCUCUCAAAACUUUGGUUUAUGUAUUUGAAAGCUUUGACUGUCAAUACUUUUACCGCUGAUAGAGACUUUUAAGGGCAUUUUCAAAUUUAAAGCUUGAAUUUGACUUUUGCAUUUUAGCUGAAUCGACUGCUCUCCACAGGAUAGUCUAUAAAGUUAUUACUGCUAGUAGAAUGACAAUAAAGGCAAUGGAAAGUGGAGAGGGUAAUGGGUGCAAGAGAAGAGCAAUGGGAAAUGACCCUACAUAAUAGCUCAAAGUUUUAUACUGUUACACAGUCCUCAGCAUCUUUCUGUCAUCUGUUCAUUCCUGUUAACAUGGAUAUAGUCGUUGGGAAAGGGAAAGGAGAAAAGCAAUUCUUCACAGAUGGAUUUACGAUGGAAAAAUUAAGGAAGUUUGAAAUGAAUUGAAAUCUGAACCAGGAGCAGUUGAUACUUCCUCCUGCUGUAGACACUCAUUCACUCAACAUAUAUUUACUCAACAUUUAUGGAGUGCCAGUCACUAUUGACAAGCCACUGAAUGGAAAAGAAGAUAAUUUAUGAAGAACAUCUUCAGCAGAGUCUACGGAAAGUGGCAGCCACAAGGCAACUUGGGGUGAUGUCCCCGUGGUCACUACUGCCACGUGUUGUGAUGGGCUUUGGUAUUAGAAGGUUUUCAGGUCUCUCAGAUGAGUGGUUUAAUAUCAAGCCAGCAAUCACGGUGCAAGAUAAAGGACUGGGAGAUACACAAUUUCCUUCAAGAUGGGUCUCCAAGACCUUAUUGGAUUGGUGUGAUAUCCAGAAUACAAGCUCUCCAGCAGAAGCUGUUCCUUCCCAAACCUGGUGGGAAGUCCCUGAGCCACACUUAAAAGAGAUGCAGCAGCCAGAUCCCAGAGUCAACAAGGCAGGAACCAUCAGAUGAUCUCUCCUUGAAGAAAGAUGGAAGAACAUCACAGAUUCUUGGACUUGGAGGGAGAGGGCUGCUCUGUCAAGUAGUGGAUUCCUCCUAUUGAAGAACUUAUUGGAAGACCAAGAAGAGUUGCUUCUGAGGUAAAAAAAAAAAAAAAAAAAAGACUAAUGCAAAGAGUGAAAAAUGAAUUUUUUAUAUUUUACACUGACCACAACACAUGGUUGAGAAAAUUUGAAUAACUCUAGCUAAAUUUUGAAAGGUGCUUCAAAGCAUAUAAAGGGCUUUCACAUGUAUUUUCUCAUGUGAUUCCUGUAAACUUGGAAAAUAGUGGGUACUCCAUUUCAGAAAUGAGAAAAUGAAGGCCCAGAGAAGUGAAGCAGCAUGCACAGGCCACACAGUUCACAGGGGACUGGGCUGAGACCAAAACCUGACUGCAGGUUGCACACUUUUAACUCUCACCAACAACAGAGACAAAAGAGGGUUGGCCACCCAAGUAUUUAUCAUGAUGCAUUUUGGAACUCCAGGCUGAAAAACAAACAAACAAAAACCCCUACUAAAGAUUAAAACAUCUCUAAUUCAAACACCCAGAAAAUAUAGCAAUUAAUUUUUCCUUCGAGGAGGCAAAUACAGAUGGGCACCUGGCUGCUUUCACAUGGUGUUAACACUCACGUCUGACUGGCCUCAUGAUCUCCUGGAUCUUCCUAAGCCAAGGCGCUGGGGCGCUAUUUAAUCAGGUUGGAAGUCCCGGAAUUUAGCUAUUCUCCAUCUCUGUUCCUGCAGACUGCUGAUUUAAACAUGUGAAGCCACUGAUUAUCUAACAGUUAAGGAGAAGUGAAUCCAAGGUUCAAUGACACAGAGAUGAGAGGCCAGGACAACACCUGAGCCUAUGACUGGCAAUUAAUUAGACAGAUAGCAUCUUACAUUUGGAAAGGACCUUAUAGGCCUAAUCCAAUCUCCCUCCUGGUAUGGGAUUCCUUCCACAGCAAGCCUGACAAAUUUGCUCCCGGAAUAGGGAUUUUCACUUGUCUUGAGGCAACCAUUCUACUACUGUAAGAUGGGCUCUUGUUGUUAGAACGUUAAGUCUACCUUUCUGACCUAGUUCUGCCCUUUGGUGCCUUAACAAAUAUGGCUACCUGUGCAUUCCCAUGUUAUUUUCCCCAUAUUUGAAGUCAACUCUCUUAGCUUUCUUAAAAUCUCCUCUCUAGCAAAGCAUACGCAGCGCCUCCAACUCUCCAUACCCACUGAUCUUCAGGCCUCUCUCCAGAUGGUGUCUCGUUUGGACAUUGUUUUUUUCCUUUUUUAGUGAAAUGCCCAUCGCUGAAUUGGGUCUGUUUUUCCUGCUUAAGCUGACCCAAUGUUAACACAUUUUCAGUGCUUUUACUGGUCAUAAGCUCCACACUAGUGGGGCUAUAUAUAUGGUGGUUAGUGAUAAGAUCAGCUCCCUCGGCUCUGUAACCCACUGGAGUUUACCAAAUGAGAACUGGUUUGCUUCAUGUAAUUUACCUCAGAAGCCACAUCACCAGCAAGAGGACCAUUAAUUGUCAAUGUGCAGGCCACAACUAAUUUGUCACUUGGAACCAGUUUUUGCUUCAAUAAACUUUUUGUCUAUCUAGUAUUGCAUCUCUUAAAAUACAGAGAAAAAACAGGUAGGAGACUAGUUUACCAGCAACUUUGACAAAUGGCCCCUGAAGGAGACUAGUGACAUUUGGAAAGUUGGUGAAAGCUGCUAGAGUCAAAGCAACUUCUUAAAAAAAAAAAAAAAUUGUGGCUAUGCUCUGCUCAACCAGGCCACACCUGUUUUGAGAAACCACCAAGCGUUCUGCAGAUAAACAGAGAUGCCAGGCCUGACAGUCUCUAAGGCAACAAGAUACCGAUCAUCAUUGUACAUGUAAGAGAUGGAAAAAGACACUGGUGACAAACAUUAAGCCUGGUUUUUUCAUCUACCCAAUGGUGUAGCAGCAGUUGGAGUAAACCCUGCCUCAAAAGCUCAUCUCACAUCCAGUCUCCAGCCCCAAACUCUAAUUGUAGUGGAGGGCAGCCUGCAUUUGGAAAAAUACCUGAGAGAUCUGGACCCCACCCCUUAAGCAGUAAUCCUGUGGCCUAAUGUGGACUUCCAAAUGGGCUUCUGGGGAAAGAAGACAAUUUGUAGCCCCUGUGUUCCCACUCCUCACCUGCAAAGUGAAAUGAAAUGUUUACGUGGCUUGAAUUCAUGAGAGUGUACACUCGGGGAUAAGCCAGUGAACUUGGAUGACACAAAGAGAUAACUUAUCUAGCUUGGCUUCCUAGCGAAUGGCUUGGAUUUUAAUUAGGAAAUCACCAUCAAAAUGCAACCACUUUCCUGCUUUCAGGGAAUUUAGAUCUAUCAAAGAUGUAUAACAUCGCACUUUCCCAUUUGUUGUUAUCUCCAACUUGUGAUAUUUUAACAGGAAUAAAGCAAGUGAGCAUUUAGUAAGAAGAUGGAAGAGGUAUAGGAUGGAUCCAGGAGUUGGAGUGGGAGCUUGUCUACUGCUUGUGAAAUUAUUGCAUUGGGGUGACUUACGUCUGUGUUUUCUCGAUCCCUAGACUUUGAGCUGCUCUGUCUUGUUCAUUGGUGCAUUCCCACUCUUCCUGGUGUCAUGUUCUGUACCUUGUUGAUACUCAAAAACUAUUUAUUGAAUUGAAUCACUGUGUUGAUUUGAGGAGAUAUUGCUCAAAGACACUGUGGAUAAAGCAAAAUCUCAGCUCAGGACGUGGGAAAACAUACUGCAAAGAUGGACUAAUUAAUGACUUAAUGAACCUUGAAAAAACAAAAAAGAAUCAUAAAUGCCAAUGACAAGUAUUAGUUUAUGGAAGCCUAAUUAUAAAUAAUAACAGAAGAAAUAACUUAAAUGAUCCAGCUGGUCAGAUAGCAGCCAUCUUUAUUAAAAGGCCUGGUCAGGAUAAGAAAUGUUAAAUAGAAAUGAGUGUGUGGGGGUGGGGUGGGGUGGGGAGAAAUCUGUGGAAUUAAUUAUGGUGGUAAAUGUAAGCAGCUUUAUAUCAACACUAAGGAGUACAGUAGAGACAUC
ensembl:lncRNA